ACACAUGCAAGCCGAGGGGCAGCAUGAUUUGUAGCAAUACAGAUUGAUGGCGACCGGCGCACGGGUGAGUAACGCGUAUGCAACUUACCUAUCAGAGGGGGAUAGCCCGGCGAAAGUCGGAUUAAUACCCCAUAAAACAGGGGUCCCGCAUGGGAAUAUUUGUUAAAGAUUCAUCGCUGAUAGAUAGGCAUGCGUUCCAUUAGGCAGUUGGCGGGGUAACGGCCCACCAAACCGACGAUGGAUAGGGGUUCUGAGAGGAGGGUCCCCCACAUUGGUACUGAGACACGGACCAAACUCCUACGGGAGGCAGCAGUGAGGAAUAUUGGUCAAUGGCCGAGAGGCUGAACCAGCCAAGUCGCGUGAAGGAAGAAGGAUCUAUGGUUUGUAAACUUCUUUUAUAGGGGAAUAAAGUGGAGGACGUGUCCUUUUUUGUAUGUACCCUAUGAAUAAGCACCGGCUAACUCCGUGCCAGCAGCCGCGGUAAUACGGAGGAUGCGAGCGUUAUCCGGAUUUAUUGGGUUUAAAGGGUGCGUAGGUGGUGAUUUAAGUCAGCGGUGAAAGUUUGUGGCUCAACCAUAAAAUUGCCGUUGAAACUGGGUUACUUGAGUGUGUUUGAGGUAGGCGGAAUGCGUGGUGUAGCGGUGAAAUGCAUAGAUAUCACGCAGAACUCCGAUUGCGAAGGCAGCUUACUAAACCAUAACUGACACUGAAGCACGAAAGCGUGGGGAUCAAACAGGAUUAGAUACCCUGGUAGUCCACGCAGUAAACGAUGAUUACUAGGAGUUUGCGAUACAAUGUAAGCUCUACAGCGAAAGCGUUAAGUAAUCCACCUGGGGAGUACGCCGGCAACGGUGAAA
rnacentral:rRNA from 1 species